UAUCUUUAUGUGAACCCCACUAUUGGUGAGUACAGAUAAAAUACCAUAUGUACCCAAAAAGUCACCAAAGCAUGUUGAUGGAGAACAGUCUUCAAAGUCAACAGCCUCCAUAAAAUCAAAGGGAAAAGGCACUGAUAUUUCUAGGAAAUGCUUUGAGCCUUCGGAAGUGAAGGAGUGGGCCAUUGAUGACUUGAAUAAAACAAUUCAGUGGCUGGAAAGUCAAGAAGAAAAGCCAGAUCCAAGUGAGGUGACAAAAAUAGCUGCAGAGGGAAUUCUAACUUGUUUGCAAGAUGCAAUUCAUUCUCUAGAGGAAAAACAGAUAUUUGAUGACACGUCUUCAAUGGAGCAACAUGUCAUAAAGGAUGUUCGAGAGCAGUACACUGCAGUUUUUUUAACCAUUUGUAAAAUGAUUAGAUGUUUCAAUAUUACAUUUUGAGUUUAGAAUUAUUUUAUGUGUAACUAUGUUAAAUAACUAUGUUAGGUAAAUAUAUUUAGGAACUUUGUUAGCUAAAUAUUACAUUUUGAUGUGUUAAUAGAAACAAUAUUGAUUAUUUUUCU